rnacentral:rRNA from 1 species
AGAGUUUGAUCCUGGCUCAGGAUGAACGCUAGCGGCAGGCUUAACACAUGCAAGUCGAGGGGCAUCGGGAGGGAAGCUUGCUUUCCUUGCCGGCGACCGGCGCACGGGUGAGUAACACGUAUGCAACCUGCCCUCUUCAGGGGGACAACCUUCCGAAAGGGAGGCUAAUCCCGCGUAUAUCGGUUUCGGGCAUCCGAGAUCGAGGAAAGAUUCAUCGGAAGAGGAUGGGCAUGCGGCGCAUUAGCUUGACGGCGGGGUAACGGCCCACCGUGGCGACGAUGCGUAGGGGUUCUGAGAGGAAGGUCCCCCACACUGGUACUGAGACACGGACCAGACUCCUACGGGAGGCAGCAGUGAGGAAUAUUGGUCAAUGGGAGAGAUCCUGAACCAGCCAAGCCGCGUGAGGGAAGACGGCCCUAUGGGUUGUAAACCUCUUUUGUCGGAGAACAAAACCCGGGACGUGUCCCGGACUGCGUGUAUCCGAAGAAAAAGCAUCGGCUAACUCCGUGCCAGCAGCCGCGGUAAUACGGAGGAUGCGAGCGUUAUCCGGAUUUAUUGGGUUUAAAGGGUGCGUAGGCGGUCCGUUAAGUCAGCGGUAAAAUUGCGGGGCUCAACCCCGUCGAGCCGUUGAAACUGGCAGACUUGAGUUGGCGAGAAGUACGCGGAAUGCGCGGUGUAGCGGUGAAAUGCAUAGAUAUCGCGCAGAACUCCGAUUGCGAAGGCAGCGUACCGGCGCCAGACUGACGCUGAGGCACGAAAGCGUGGGGAUCGAACAGGAUUAGAUACCCUGGUAGUCCACGCAGUAAACGAUGAAUGCUGGUUGUCCGGGUCGAAUGAGAUCUGGGCGGCGAAGCGAAAGCGAUAAGCAUUCCACCUGGGGAGUACGCCGGCAACGGUGAAACUCAAAGGAAUUGACGGGGGCCCGCACAAGCGGAGGAACAUGUGGUUUAAUUCGAUGAUACGCGAGGAACCUUACCCGGGCUCAAACGGGAGUGGAAUGGACCAGAGACGGUUCAGCCAACGGGCCGCUUCCGAGGUGCUGCAUGGUUGUCGUCAGCUCGUGCCGUGAGGUGUCGGCUUAAGUGCCAUAACGAGCGCAACCCCCGCCGGCAGUUGCUAACGGGCAAUGCCGAGGACUCUGCCGGGACUGCCGCCGCAAGGCGAGAGGAAGGCGGGGAUGACGUCAAAUCAGCACGGCCCUUACGUCCGGGGCGACACACGUGUUACAAUGGGCGGUACAGCGGGAAGCCUGGCGGCGACGCCGAGCGGAACCCGAAAGCCGUUCUCAGUUCGGAUCGGAGUCUGCAACCCGACUCCGUGAAGCUGGAUUCGCUAGUAAUCGCGCAUCAGCCAUGGCGCGGUGAAUACGUUCCCGGGCCUUGCACACACCGCCCGUCA